UGGGGAAUAUUGGACAAUGGGCGAAAGCCUGAUCCAGCCAUGCCGCGUGUGUGAAGAAGGUCUUCGGAUUGUAAAGCACUUUAAGCUGGGAGGAAGGGCAGUAAGCGAAUACCUUGCUGUUUUGACGUUACCGACAGAAUAAGCACCGGCUAACUCUGUGCCAGCAGCCGCGGUAAUACAGAGGGUGCAAGCGUUAAUCGGAAUUACUGGGCGUAAAGCGCGCGUAGGUGGUUCGUUAAGUUGAAUGUGAAAGCCCCGGGCUCACCCUGGGAAGUGCAGCCAAAACUGGCGGGCUAGAGUAGGGCAGAGGGUGGUGGAAUUUCCUGUGUAGCGGUGAAGUGCGUAGAUAUAGGAAGGAACACCAGUAGCGAAGGCGACCACCUUGGCUCAUACUGACACUGAGGUGCGAAAGCGUGGGGAGCAAACAGG
rnacentral:rRNA from 1 species